GACGUAGGGCGCGAGCGUUGUCCGGAUUUAUUGGGCGUAAAGAGCUCGUAGGCGGCUUGUUGCGUCGACUGUGAAAGCCCGUGGCUUAACCGCGUGGUCUGCAGUCGAUACGGGCAGGCUAGAGUUCGGUAGGGGAGACUGGAAUUCCUGGUGUAGCGGUGAAAUGCGCAGAUAUCAGGAGGAACACCGGUGGCGAAGGCGGCUUGCUGGGCCAGUUCUGACGCUGAGGAGCGAAAGCGUGGGGAGCGAACAGG
rnacentral:rRNA from 1 species